UAAGCAGUAAGGCUGAGUAUUAGGCAAAUCCGGUACUCGUUAAGGCUGAGCUGUGAUGGGGAGAAGACAUUGUGUCUUCGAGUCGUUGAUUUCACACUGCCGAGAAAAGCCUCUAGAUAGAAAAUAGGUGCCCGUACCGCAAACCGACACAGGUAGUCAAGAUGAGAAUUCUAAGGUGAGCGAGCGAACUCUCGUUAAGGAACUCGGCAAAAUGACCCCGUAACUUCGGGAGAAGGGGUGCUCUUUAGGGUUAACGCCCAGAAGAGCCGCAGUGAAUAGGCCCAAGCGACUGUUUAUCAAAAACACAGGUCUCUGCUAAACCGUAAGGUGAUGUAUAGGGGCUGACGCCUGCCCGGUGCUGGAAGGUUAAGAGGAGUGGUUAGCUUCUGCGAAGCUACGAAUCGAAGCCCCAGUAAACGGCGGCCGUAACUAUAACGGUCCUAAGGUAGCGAAAUUCCUUGUCGGGUAAGUUCCGACCCGCACGAAAGGCGUAACGAUUUGGGCACUGUCUCAACGAGAGACUCGGUGAAAUCAUAGUACCUGUGAAGAUGCAGGUUACCCGCGACAGGACGGAAAGACCCCGUGGAGCUUUACUGUAGCCUGAUAUUGAAAUUCGGCACAGCUUGUACAGGAUAGGUA
rnacentral:rRNA from 1 species